rnacentral:tRNA from 1 species
GUUGCCGGUGGCCGGGUUGUUGGUGCUCAGGUUCAGGAUCUGGCCGUAGACGAUGUAGGGCACGGCCAGGCCGGUGCCGAUGCCGGCCUGGGUGUU